rnacentral:lncRNA from 1 species
AAAUAAUUAAAAUAAAUAAUAUGUAAAAAUAAUUUAAAAUAAAUAAUACAUAAAAUUUUAAAGUAAAUGACGUACAAAAAGAGUUUAAAAUGGACAUUAUAAAAAUAAAAUAGAUAAUAAAUGAAAAUUUAAAAGUAAACAAUAUAUAUAUAUAAAUUCAAUAUAGAUAAUAUGUAAAAGAGUUUAAAACCAACAAACAAACAAAAAAAAAAUUAAAAACAGAAUAUAUAUAUAUAUAAUAAAACAGUUUGAUAUGAAUAAUAUCUAACAAAAAUUUAAAACGAGUAAAAUAAUUUGAAAGAAAUAAUAUAUUAAAUAUUAAAUAAAUAACAAAUUAAAAGUUUAAAAUCCAACAGAUUAGGACUAAAUCAAAAUAGAAAUGAAAUUAAAAGUAGAAAAUAAUAAUAAAACAAACAAUUUAAAUAAUUAAAUAAAACAAAGAACUGAAAUUAAAUGCGCAAAUACAUUCGGGGACCAAAAAGGAAAUUAAUCCCAUCUCUAGGACACGUGUCCCUUUCUUAAAACGCCAGUGAGUUAAGGACUCAAUUGAAAUGAACGGAAAAUUUAGGGACCAAUUUAUAAAAAUAAAAAAGUAAGUAAAAUGGGUAGAUCGCAACGUUCUGCAAAAAUAGGGGGACUUAUCGUGAAAAUAGACCAUAAGUCUAAAACACGCGAAUCCCCUCCAGUUUUGGGUCGGGUGACGGGUCGGAGCCUUAUACGGUGCCGUUUUGGGCCACUGAAACAGGCCCUAAAUGACUCCGUUUCAUGCAUCAUAUAAAACCAAAAUUUUUUUCUUUUUCCUUUCAUUCUGCUCUUUCCCUUUUUAAAAAAAAAAACAGAGAGCCUUUGCUCUCUCUCCCUCUCCCUCCUUCAUGGCCGACCAUGGGUUCAUCGGGGGGUCCUCCACGCCUACGCCGUGAACGGCGACCAAUGUUACGCGAAACGGGUCCCUUCGACGCUCUUUUUGAAUAGGUCCGAAGAUGGAGCCCUCAUGACCACAGCAACGCAAGGAAAAAGGGAAGGACCCUUCGGUUCUUCGUUCUCCAUCGCGGCCAAUGGUCGAACCCCCAGGGGUUCGGCGACCUUCAGGACGACGAGAGGAUGCCGUAGCGCACCCAAACAGUGAAUCGAAGGUGCGUUUUUUAUUACUAUUUCGUUCUUUUAUUAUUAUUACUUAAAUAUUUAUAUGCAAAAAAAUGAAGAAAAAUAAAAUAAAGAGGAACAAAGUAAGAAUCUUAAAUAAAAAUAAAGAUGAAAAUCACCUUCUGAAGUUUUCUUUUUUGUUAUUUCUAUUUUCUGAUGUUCGUAAAAAAACUACAAAGAUGAAAUUGUGGCUUUUAAAGCCGUUUACAAAACGAUUAAAUCAUAUUUUUUUGUCGUUUUCUCCAUUAGUUGCCUCUGUCUUGUGUGUGAACCUUCGUUUUGCAAGUGUCAGAGGCGUGGGUGAGUGGUGGUUGGCUCACGAGGAGGCGAGGCAGCGCGCGUGGUGGCUCAGCAUGCGUGGGGUGAGCGGCGGCUGAAGAGGGGGGGCUAGGGUUUGUUUGCUUGCUGAAAAUUUUGAUAGCUAAUGGGCUAGGGUUUAGUUUAGGCCUUGUAAUUUGGGUAGGAUAGGUUUGGGUAUGUUAUUGGGUUUUUGGUAUUUUUUAAUUUGGGCCAUUUUAAUGUGUAAAUGGACUGUUAAUAAAUAUUUAGAUUUUUACUUAUUUUUGGUUUAUUUUGUUUUAUAGACAUGGGUCAAAAUUGGCUAUUAUAAUUAUAAUUUUGGUUUCAUUUUACUCAAAAAAUUACCACCCAAAAAAUGUGGUUACAUAAAUAUACGGUCAAAAUACGUUACCAUUUC